AUUGAACGCUGGCGGCAUGCCUUACACAUGCAAGUCGAACGGCAGCACGGGGCAACCUGGUGGCGAGUGGCGAACGGGUGAGUAAUGCAUCGGAACGUACCUUUCAGUGGGGGAUAACGUAGCGAAAGUUACGCUAAUACCGCAUAUUCUGUGAGCAGGAAAGCAGGGGAUCGCAAGACCUUGCGCUGAUUGAGCGGCCGAUGUCAGAUUAGCUAGUUGGUGAGGUAAAGGCUCACCAAGGCGACGAUCUGUAGCGGGUCUGAGAGGAUGAUCCGCCACACGGGAACUUAGGCACGGUCCAGACUCCUACGGGAGGCAGCAGUGGGGAAUUUUGGACAAUGGGGGCAACCCUGAUCCAGCCAUGCCGCGUGAGUGAAGAAGGCCUUCGGGUUGUAAAGCUCUUUCGGCCGGGAAGAAAUCGCACGGGCUAAUACCCUGUGUGGAUGACGGUACCGGAAUAAGAAGCACCGGCUAACUACGUGCCAGCCGCCGCCGUAACAC
rnacentral:rRNA from 1 species